GGUGAAGUGGCCGAGUAGGUGGUGGGUUGUAGCCCCAAUCACAGAGGUUCAAGCCCUCUCUUUACCA
rnacentral:tRNA from 1 species